GACAAAGCGAGAAAGUGAAAUUAUGUCCGUGGAUGCAGAAAUGGAACGGAUGAAAACGGAGGAAGCCAUUCUCUGUCCUGCCUGAUGUGCCAUAUGGCAGCAUCAGUCGUGUGUCUGCGGUGUGCAGACCACAUCUGCUCACGCAUCCUUUGAUUCCAGACCAAAACAGUUGUACUCACACAUCUGUCCAACUCAUCGAAGUCUGCUCUCUCCAAUGAGCUCAUUUCUAAUCCUAUCCAAUCCUAGCGAGAACCUCGACAUCUUCAUUUCUGCUACCACCAGUUCUGCUUCCUGUUGUUUCUUCAGAGCCACCGUAUCUAACCCGUCGUACACCAUGGCCGGCCUCACCACUGUUUUGGAAACUUUGCCCUUCAUCCUUCUGUCAAACAGAACACCAGAGACCUUCCGCCAACUGUUCCAUCCCUCUAGGACCCGUUUCUUCACUUCCUUACCACAAUCUCCAUUGAUCUGUAUUGUCGACUCCAAGUAUUUGAAGUUGUCCACCUUCGCUAUCUCUUCUCCCUGGAGCCUCUAUUCUGUUUCACUUCAGCUAAUCUUCAUUACUCUCUUUUCCAGUGCAUGCCUCCACCUACAGAG